rnacentral:lncRNA from 1 species
CAAUCUAUAGCAUGAAACUGUGUUUGACACGGCCAUAUACACAAUCAGCUGUCCAUAGCCUAAAUUCAGUUUUCUGACACACAUAGCCUAAAUUCAGUUUUGAGUCAAGUAUAACUAACAGACAACUGAUGUUGUACGCCAGUCCUCCGAGUCUACAAGCCAGUCAUCCAUCCGUAUCGCCUUUCAGAUGCGAGUGCGUCCAUGAUCCAUCCCCGACCAACGUCACCUGAUGUUCCAACCCAGCGAACGAAACAGAUUCCAUUUUCCAAUUUCUAACCAAUUCCGGCUCUCUCGAGAAGACUCAAUUCUGGUGCCUGUCGUAAUCAUCACGCGGACACACCACACAGUUCGUGAUCCACACUGCUGCACGUGACGGCACAGUACAGUUGAUUUCAACGACGUAGCUUUCAUAGUGUGCCCAUGCCCAUCAGAUGUCGGUUUAGCUCUAUAGCGUGCUAGCUGCUGCUAGCAACUGCAUGAUUAUUCCAGCACCGCCCAGUCCCAGUCCCAGUCCCAGUCCCAGUCCCAGGCCCAGGCCUCGGCCCUGCGGAUAUCAGCACGACAUUUCCGUGACCCGCGUGACGCGAAACCAUGUCGCGUGGUUCACGGGGACGAAGCCGGCAAUGGCGAGAAGAGCGAUGGUGGUCAGGUUUCCAUGGGACCGCCGUGACGCACAACAAUAAUGAAACAUGCAACGGAUCAGUACCAACCAACCAACCAAACGUGGGGGAACGGUAGAGAAGUUUCGGCCGGGGUCUCUUUCUUCUCAUUACGAGUCAAAAUCAAACAAGAGACUACAGCUUCCUGGCUUCCUGCCAUGGGGAACCAAUCAUUACGAGUCAAAGUCAAAAUACCCUUCCUGGCUUCCUGCCAUGGGGGAUAGAGACUACAGCUUUUUUUAGCUAUGUAUUGUGAAUGAUAUUCAACUAGCCAACUAGGGGAAAAAAGAGCUAAAUUUUGCAAUGCGUGCUGUCUGACUGAAAGAAAUAAAGAUAUAUUGGGUGUAUAAAGGAUAAAACCUGAAAUGUUUGCCUCUCUGUCUGCUGCAAGCCUGCGGCUAAGAACUUGAGAAAUUGCAUCGCUGCAAGGAAGAUCACACUGAAGCCGUCAUGGUGCCUGCAAUAAACAAGAAAGCUGUUGCAAUUAAGUAGCGGUAGCAUAUAGGGUGUUUGGUUUGAGGAAUAAGCUAAUCCAUCAUCUUCUCACUCCUCACUAAUUUUGUUUGGUUUGUGGAAUGGAAUGAGUUGAUCCAUCAUCACCCCAUUCCUCAUAGUUAGUUAGUUAGUACUAAUAUAAGGAAUGAGGUCAUCCCACCAAAUUUGAGGAAUGAACUCAUGAUGCACCACCUCAAUUUAGAUGUAGUGAUUCCUUAAACCAAACACACCCAUAGUGUAUGCCCCCGUUUUCAACAUAAAAGAAAUUAACGGUGUGUUUGGUUGAGAAGUCGAGCAAAAUGGAGCCGAACACACAGUAGAACGGCUCCAUCCUUAAAAACUGGAGUAGAGUCACAACAUUCUAGUUGACUCGCCAACCAAACAUAUCAUAAAUCAUCAAAGAAAAGUAGCUGACCAUGCACGGGCAUGUACCAGGAACAGAUGUUGUAUUCGCAGGCUAAUAUAUCAUUAUAUCACAAGCCUAAGGGCUACAUAGACAUCAAUUUAAAAAACCCUAUAUAAUAAUGAAAGAAAACAGAAUAUCAUGGUCCUUCCUGCAAAUGUACUGCAAGAAUGAAAAGGGAGAAGACUUUUUUGUUUGUUUGUUUGCUACUUAAGCUCAUCUUGACUAUACGGGCACUCCAGGGACCCGUUGGUAGAACAAGUCCUGCUAUAUGUGCAUGAACACAUCUUUCUGGCAGUGCAGUCCUCUUUGUUUUCUAACACCAUCACACGAUUUAAAGGCUAGGCAAUAGGCACAGGUAUUUUCCCUGCCUCCUUCCAGCUGAAUUGUUGGUACUGGCUACUGUGUAUGGAAACCGAGAAUUAUUCUUGAACAUAGCAGCAUCCGUUUCCAUGUCUAAUUUCUGCACUGUUUCAGUGCCAUUAUUUUUCGUGGAACGGCCCAUCUCUGAAAUGCUAAAAUUCACUGGUAUGCACCACAUGGAACCGGACCCGUCCUAUAAGGGCCAUAAGCAGGCCAGCUCAUCAUCAUGCAGAUACUUUGAAUGAGAAUCAAGUGUGCCAACAGUGGUAACAUCCAUCUUCUCUUUCCACCGCAAUAUCAUGAAGAACCCUUUUUCCAUAUGAACAUAGAUUGUGAAUCAUAUGCGAGGCAUCCCAUGUUCAUGGUCCAGGGUAGGUGUGUGUGCCCUCUGUGUCGCAAGCUGUGUUCAGAUUUCAACGUACCUGGACCACAAAUUUAAAGGUUUUGAUAAUUGAGCAGGACACGAUCACCAACUGUAGUUGAUCCCAUUGUAUCCAGUUAUCAACAAGCAAAGGCUGCAUAGAUUACUUGAUGCAACAAAGUAUUCCAUCCAUUGUUAAGAAUGCUCUGCAGCAAUCAGUAAGAGAGCACUUCAAAUAUUAUGCAGCAAUCAAGUACUGGAGGCUCCCACAUAAGUGAGGUCCGAAGAAGAGAUAAUCCGAGGCAAACCUUUCACUCGUAAAUGUGGAAGAGGCUACUUUGAACCCACUGACCUAGUGACUUAGUGAGAUAACUCUCACCACUAAACCAAGCUUCUCCUUCAUUAUGCACCAUAUAUAAGAUAAGAAAUGACAGACCCAGUGCUAGAGGCUCCACAUAAGUGGAGUCUGGGGAAAGAACAAACCAAGGUAAUCCUUUCUCCAGCAAAUACAAAUAGGUUGCUUCGAACCGGCUACCCGAUGGGUGUGAUUCGGUGAGACAACUCUUACCAUUGAACCAAACCUGCCCUUCAUUAUGCACUAUAUAUUAGAUAAAGAAGGCAGGCCUAGUACAGAAGGCUUCCACAUGAGUGGGGUCUGGAAAAGGGAUAAACUGAGGGAAGUCUUCUUUGGUGACUUAGUGAAACAACUCUUACCACUGCGCCAAGCCUGCCUUCUACACACCAUAUAUUAGAUCUGGUCCAUCAAUUUUGUAUCAUGCAAUACCAAAUUUCUGCUGGCAAUGGACCUGAAAUAAUAUUUCUAGAUUCACUCACCUCACUUUUAAUGUAGACUGAUAUUCUAAACUAACAAAUUUAUCAUGAAGCCUUCAUUCUUAGCCGAAGCAAUAUGCAAUUCUACUCUCUUGGCAAAUACUCUCACGGUAGCCCUGUCAAUGAUUACAUAUUUAUCAGAAAAUGUAAUGUUCACAAUCCAUGAAUAGCUUCAACAUAAUUUCUAAGCCAGAUAGAAAAUGGUAAGUGUAAAAGAUAAGUCUAUCAUUAAACUUAUUAUUUAUGAUUUGGUGUGCAGCUUCAAAAGGCAAGUCAAAGAAGGUCAGUAUUGUGGUUGCAAUUGCUGUCAGCAUAACUGCUGCCCUGGCCGUUCUUCUAGCAAUCACAGGGUUUUACAUUUGGAGAGCAAAUAAAACAAAAGCAAGAAAAUCAGGUGACAUACUAUCGCUACAGAAUGUUGAUCUCCCCAAAGGGGAUGGAAAAACAUAUUUUAUUGUAUCAAUGUAAAUUUUUUGGUUGAUGCAAUUCUAACUUCGGUAUUUUCAUAGGAUCAUCCAUAUGGGCAGCUGGUUCACACAAUAAGGAUGGCAGUGAAGGAAAGGAUAAUGGGGACGACCUGGAACUGCCAGUAUAUGAUUUCGAGACAAUAGCAGCAGCCACGGAGGGUUUCUCAGCUGAGAACAAGCUUGGUGAAGGCGGCUUUGGGCCUGUAUACAAGGUAUAUGUCUCAACCUAAAUGGUAGUGUAAUACUGUAAUGUACUUACAUCUUAAGCAUUUUGAAGCCAUUUGAAGUGGCACCAGGAUGGCUCAACUGCUGACUAAAUUUAGCAGCGGCAUUUCCAAGCAUUUCCAAGGCAUUAUUCUUUAUUGUGAACUUAGUACCUAAUUGGACAUUCAUAAUUACAGGGUAAGCUUGAGGAUGGACAAGAAGUAGCUGUUAAAACACUUUCAAGAACAUCAAGACAAGGUCUUGAGGAAUUCAAGAAUGAGGUUUUGUUGAUAGCUAAACUCCAGCAUCGGAAUCUUGUUCGACUAAUUGGAUGCAGCAUUUCUGGACCAGAAAAGAUACUUAUAUAUGAAUACAUGGAAAACAAGAGCUUGGACUUCUUUAUGUUUGGUACGCCCACAACCUUUCUUAGUGAAAAAAAAAUCAAUAUCUAUCAAUAAACAAAUAACAGCCUAUAUCUUUGUUACCAGACACGACCAGGAGCAAGCUACUUGACUGGCAAACACGAUAUCGUAUAAUCGAGGGAAUUGCCCGAGGUUUACUGUAUCUUCACCAGGACUCGCGAUAUAGAAUCAUACACAGAGAUCUCAAGACAAGCAACAUUCUUCUGGAUAAGGAUAUGACUCCCAAAAUUUCAGACUUCGGCAUGGCUAGAAUGUUUGGCAGUGAUGACGCAGAGAUCAAUACUCUCAGAGUAGUUGGCACAUAGUAAGUAACUAGAACAGACAUGUCAAUCACCUAGUAUUGCCUGUGCAAUUGAAUGUCCUAAGAAUGGUGGAAUUUACAUGGUUUACAGUGGUUAUAUGGCUCCCGAGUACGCAAUGGAUGGGGUGUUCUCGGUGAAAUCAGAUGUAUUUAGCUUUGGCGUUAUAGUGCUGGAAAUCAUUGCUGGUAAAAGGAACCGAGGUGUCUACAGAUACUCUGGCCACCUCAACCUUCUAGCACAUGUGAGCAUCCAUCCAGCUCAACAAUCGUUCACAUGUAAAAAGACCGUUAAAUUUAACUUGACAUCAAUUUUGUAACUAUUUCUGAAUCUUUACCAGGCCUGGAGCUUAUUGAAUGAGGGGAAUGGCUUAGAUUUAGUCGACGAGAAUCUGAAUGGCUCCUUCAACUCAGAUGAAGUGCUAAAAUGCCUCAAAGUGGGGCUUCUUUGCGUGCAAGAGAACCCAGACGACCGUCCCCUGAUGUCUCAGGUGCUGAUGAUGCUGGCCAGCACUGACACUGCCUCGUUGCCGACUCCCAAACAGCCAGGCUUCGCUGCAAGAACUGCGGCCGCUGAAGACACGUCGUGGAGCAAGCCUGACUGCAGCAUCGUGGACAGCAUGACCAUCACAAUGGUCGAAGGUCGGUAGAAAGCUACUCCCUCCGUCUCGUUUUAGUUGUCGCUGGAUAGUGCAAAAUUGAACUAUCCAGCGACAACUAAAAAGAAACGGAGGGAGUAUAUCAGAGCACAAGAUGUAUGUAUACUCAUGAUAUCAGUCAGAGCAAAAGAUGUAUACUGUAGAGUAGUAGAGUGGCAUCUCUUCCUUUGUUAUCUUAUUUGACAAGUGUAUAAAUGUUUCCUCGAGAAAAAUGAAGAAAUCAGGGAAACUAAAGUUUUGCGGGUUGUGAUCGUUUACUUCUGAUAACGAAUAUAAUGUGCAAUCAAUGCUAAUAUUGAAAAGAACAUAUAGAUUGUAGAGUAAAACUGAAGGCGUUGUCAGAGUGAAACCUCAACUCAUAUUGCAUUGCAGGCGGUGCCAAGAGACCAAUAAUCCGCUAUCUCCUGGAUUCAGUUCCCCGUCUCAUCAACCGAUCUACACAAUGAGAAGCUGGCGAAAUUGCGAAACGACAUUGAUAUUCGAGCGAAUCGGGAUACCUCCUGCGCAUCCCCAGAACUGCAUGAUAUUCGAGCGAAUGAGACGCGCACCUCAGCUAUUCACCUCCUCUCCUCGCGCGUCCGUCUCCUGCGGUCCUGCCCCGCAGCCACAUCCCUCUCCGAUGUGCGCCACAAUCCAACAUCAUCCAUCCAAACAUCCCCCCCCCCCAAAAAAAAAAAACAACAAUGUGCCACAGUCGUGCCCAGCGACGGGUGUUGGUCCCUGGCG